rnacentral:rRNA from 1 species
GGACGAACGCUGGCGGCGUGCCUAACACAUGCAAGUCGAGCGGAGUUAACAAGAGGAAGUUUCGGAUGGAAUUUGUUAAUUAGCGGCGGACGGGUGAGUAACGCGUGAGCGACCAACCUUGCACAGGGGGAUAACGGACCGAAAGGUUCACUAAUACCGCAUGAGACCACGGUGUUGCAUGACACAGAGGUCAAAGGAGCAAUCCGGUGCAAGACGGGCUCGCGUCCGAUUAGGUAGUUGGUGGGUAAUGGCCCACCAAGCCUAUGAUCGGUAGCCGACCUGAGAGGGUGAUCGGCCACAUUGGAACUGAGAUACGGUCCAAACUCCUACGGGAGGCAGCAGUGGGGAAUAUUGGGCCAAUGGGGGAAACCCUGACCCAGCAACGCCGCGUGAAGGAAGAAGGUUUUCGGAUUGUAAACUUCUGUCCUUGGUGAAGAGAAGAAGACGGUAGCCAAGGAGGAAGCCCCGGCUAACUACGUGCCAGCCGCCGC